UCCGGAUUGGAGUCUGCAACUCGACUCCAUGAAGUCGGAAUCGCUAGUAAUCGUGGAUCAGAAUGCCACGGUGAAUACGUUCCCGGGCCUUGUACACACCGCCCGUCACACCAUGGGAGUGGGUUGCAAAAGAAGUAGGUAGCUUAACCUUCGGGAGGGCGCUUACCACUUUGUGAUUCAUGACUGGGGUGAAGUCGUAACAAGGUAACCGUAGGGGAACCUGCGGUUGGAUCACCUCCUUA
rnacentral:rRNA from 1 species